rnacentral:rRNA from 1 species
CCUACGGGCGGCAGCAGUGGGGAAUAUUGGACAAUGGGCGAAAGCCUGAUCCAGCCAUGCCGCGUGUGUGAAGAAGGCCUUCGGGUUGUAAAGCACUUUCAGUGGGGAAGAAAGCCUUGGGGCUAAUACCCUCGAGGAAGGACAUCACCCACAGAAGAAGCACCGGCUAACUCCGUGCCAGCAGCCGCGGUAAUACGGAGGGUGCGAGCGUUAAUCGGAAUUACUGGGCGUAAAGCGCGCGUAGGCGGUCUGAUAAGCCGGUUGUGAAAGCCCCGGGCUCAACCUGGGAACGGCAUCCGGAACUGUCAGGCUAGAGUGCAGGAGAGGAAGGUAGAAUUCCCGGUGUAGCGGUGAAAUGCGUAGAUAUCGGGAGGAAUACCAGUGGCGAAGGCGGCCUUCUGGACUGACACUGACGCUGAGGUGCGAAAGCGUGGGUAGCAAACAGGAUUAGAUACCCGAGUAGUC